GCCUGAUUUGUAAGGAAAAUAUAACUGUAUCGUCAUGUUUGGUGGAUUGCACAUUGAAAUGACUUGUUAUAAAACUCUGGGUGAUAUAUUGCGUGAUAGGGGAUAGACAUAUUGUCUUACUGAAGCCAUUAUUGCAACACCAAGAACGGCAGAUUCUUUGUAUGUAUAUUCAAAUGUACCUAAACUAGACAGGCGCAUCAGACAACUGCAUGUAUUUUGCUUAAAAAUUGUUCAUUUCAGAUUAUGAAAGCUAAACUCAGAAUAUAUUAUUAUGUCAUGACUCUGUGACGUUCAAUGAUUUAAAAGACUGGUGUAAGGAAAUAGAGUCAUCUCGACCACAGUUCUGAUUUUGGUAUUAUGCUCAUUUCAUGAGUGAGAUUUCGUACUUUUCAAACAGUCCAUAUAAAGCAUGAUAGCGUAUUGUUUUAGGUCUUGAUCGUGUAAAUUAUGCUUGAUCGUUACCGACUCAUCUCCGAGAUAUGACUUCCUUUCCCGAACAUCACCCACAGGUUGCAAUGGAAUUUGAAAAUGAUAAUUUCACUGUACGUAAGACCAGUAAAUUUCUUUCUUGUGACACUAUUGAUCAGGCACAAAAACAGACAAAUGGAUGGUAG
rnacentral:lncRNA from 1 species